rnacentral:tRNA from 1 species
GGCCGUUCGACGGCACAUUUCCCUGACACGGAAGAGGUCACUGGUUCGAUCCCAGUAUCGCCCA